UGUCGCCGUUAUUGCCAACAACCGCCAUCAUGCUAUUGCUUGAAAUGGGGCGUAUUUUUGUGUUGUCUGCAAGGAACAACCGCUGCUUAGCUGCUCAGCACCCUGCAAACCAGGAAUUAAUAAUUCAACGAAUAUACCGUUUGUGUAAACCCUCGUCUAUCGAAAUCACUGGCAACAAUAUUAUUCGAUAAUUUUGAACCAUUUAACGACAUGUAACAAUAUUUAAAACCGAUAACACCCAUGUUGGCUAAAGAAUGGAUUUCACAACUUAAUAACAAAACUGGAUUUUCUUCUACGUUUUGCUGCCGUUUGGAACAAAAGGAAAAUUAGUGGACAGUUCUACCUAUAAACGAUAGGUCCAGAUCGUUAAUUUGCUUACUGUAUGGCCGAGAGACUGCAAUUAGAUCUCCAAUUAAAACGGGAUGGUUUCUCACAUCUUUCAAGAAGUCAAGUUUUUUUGAGCUGCUCAAAUGGACGAGAGACAGCGACAGUUCGCCCGAUAACUGCUCAAUAUUGGAAUAUUUAUCUAAUAUCGAGGUAUCAGACCCAUUCUACAAUUUAAGCGAUACUCUUACCUAUUCGCACAUUCCUUUAUUUUUGAAAUUCGAGUUUAAAAUACAUAAUAAAAGAGAAAGUCAACAUGGAUCUGACAUAGUUCUACACAAAGGUCACCUACAAUUGAUGAAACUAAUCUGAACUUGAAUUAAAGCAUGUUCCCA